rnacentral:rRNA from 1 species
AGGGGUAUAGUUCUUCGGAGCUAGAGACCGGCGCACGGGUGCGUAACGCGUAUGCAAUCUACCUUUUACAGAGGGAUAGCCCAGAGAAAUUUGGAUUAAUACCUCAUAGUAUGUGAGAAUCGCAUGGUUUUCACAUUAAAGUCACAACGGUAAAAGAUGAGCAUGCGUCCCAUUAGCUUGUUGGUAAGGUAACGGCUUACCAAGGCAACGAUGGGUAGGGGUCCUGAGAGGGAGAUCCCCCACACUGGUACUGAGACACGGACCAGACUCCUACGGGAGGCAGCAGUGAGGAAUAUUGGACAAUGGGCGCAAGCCUGAUCCAGCCAUGCCGCGUGCAGGAUGACGGUCCUAUGGAUUGUAAACUGCUUUUGUACAGGAAGAAACACUCCCUCGUGAGGGAGCUUGACGGUACUGUAAGAAUAAGGAUCGGCUAACUCCGUGCCAGCAGCCGCGGUAAUACGGAGGAUCCAAGCGUUAUCCGGAAUCAUUGGGUUUAAAGGGUCCGUAGGCGGUUUAAUAAGUCAGUGGUGAAAGCCCAUCGCUCAACGGUGGAACGGCCAUUGAUACUGUUAAACUUGAAUUAUUAGGAAGUAACUAGAAUAUGUAGUGUAGCGGUGAAAUGCUUAGAGAUUACAUGGAAUACCAAUUGCGAAGGCAGGUUACUACUAAUGGAUUGACGCUGAUGGACGAAAGCGUGGGUAGCGAACAGGAUUAGAUACCCUGGUAGUCCACGCCGUAAACGAUGGAUACUAGCUGUUGGGAGCAAUCUCAGUGGCUAAGCGAAAGUGAUAAGUAUCCCACC